GUGCGUUAGGGAUUGAAACGGCAUCCUUUUUAAAAUAAAGAAGCAAUGUGUUUAAUUUAAAGUAAAAAACAAAUGGAUAGCUACGACGAUCUUAAUUCGUUAAUUCCUUUUAAAAAGAUAUAGUGGAAAGCCCGACCCUUG
rnacentral:sRNA from 1 species